rnacentral:rRNA from 1 species
GACGAACGCUGGCGGCGUGCUUAACACAUGCAAGUCGAACGGAAAGGCCCUGCUUUCGUGGGGUGCUCGAGUGGCGAACGGGUGAGUAACACGUGAGUAACCUGCUCUUGACUUUGGGAUAACUUCAGGAAACUGGGGCUAAUACCGUAUAGGAGCUCCUGCUGCAUGGUGGGGGUUGGAAAGUUUCGGCGGUUGGGGAUGGACUCGCGGCUUAUCAGCUUGUUGGUGGGGUAGUGGCUUACCAAGGCUUUGACGGGUAGCCGGCCUGAGAGGGUGACCGGCCACAUUGGGACUGAGGUACGGCCCAGACUCCUACGGGGGGCAGCAGUGGGGAAUAUUGCACAAUGGGCGGAAGCCUGAUGCAACAACGCCGCGUGCGGGAUGACGGCCUUCGGGUUGUGAACCGCUUUCGGCUGUGACGAAGCGUGAGUGACGGUAAUGGGUAAAGAAGCACCGGCUAACUACGUG